GGAUUAGAUACCCUGGUAGUCCACGCCGUAAACGAUGAUAACUCGGUGCUGGCGACAUACUGUCAGUGCCCAAGCGAAAGUGAUAAGUUAUCCACCUGGGGAGUACGAUCGCAAGGUUGAAACUCAAAGGAAUUGACGGGGGCCCGCACAAGCGGUGGAGCAUGUGGUUUAAUUCGAUGGUACGCGAGGAACCUUACCUGGGCUUAAAUGCAUAAUGACCUCCUGAGAAAUCAGGAUUUCUUCGGACAGAAUGCAAGGUGCUGCAUGGUUGUCGUCAGCUCGUGCCG
rnacentral:rRNA from 1 species